AUUGAACGCUGGCGGAAUGCUUUACACAUGCAAGUCGAACGGUAACAGGUCUUCGGAUGCUGACGAGUGGCGAACGGGUGAGUAAUAUAUCGGAACGUGCCCAGUCGUGGGGGAUAACGUAGCGAAAGUUACGCUAAUACCGCAUACGAUCUAUGGAUGAAAGCGGGGGAUCGCAAGACCUCGCGCGAUUGGAGCGGCCGAUAUCAGAUUAGGUAGUUGGUGGGGUAAAGGCUCACCAAGCCAACGAUCUGUAGCUGGUCUGAGAGGAGGACCAGCCCCACUGGAACUGAGACACGGUCCAGACUCCUACGGGAGGCAGCAGUGGGGAAUUUUGGACAAUGGACGCAAGUCUGAUCCAGCCAUUCCGCGUGCAGGAUGAAGGCCCUCGGGUUGUAAACUGCUUUUGUACGGAACGAAAAGGUCUCUCCUAAUACGAGGGGCUCAUGACGGUACCGUAAGAAUAAGCACCGGCUAACUACGUGCCAGCCGCCGCCGUAAGAC
rnacentral:rRNA from 1 species